UGAGCAAUCUGCCCUUCACAUCGGAAUAACCAUUGGAAACGAUGGCUAAUACCGAAUAUGACUUCGGAUCGCAUGAUCUGAAAGGAAAGCUCCGGCGGUGAAGGAUGAGCUCGCGGCCUAUCAGCUUGUUGGUGAGGUAAUAGCUCACCAAGGCGAUGACGGGUAGCCGGCCUGAGAGGGUGACCGGCCACACUGGGACUGAGACACGGCCCAGACUCCG
rnacentral:rRNA from 1 species